UGAGUACGAGCUGCUACGGCAGCGAAGUGGGUGAUGUCAAGCUUCCAAGAAAAGCCCUAUACCCGUUAAGGCAUGAUGGCCUGUACCCGAAACCGACACAGGUGGGGUGGUAGAGAAUACCGAGGGGCGCGAGAUAACUCUCUCUAAGGAACUCGGCAAAAUGGCCCCGUAACUUCGGGAGAAGGGGUGCCACCGCAAGGUGGUCGCAGUGAAGAGGCCCAGGCGACUGUUUACCAAAAACACAGGUCUCCGCUAAGUCGCAGGACGAUGUAUGGGGGCUGACGCCUGCCCAGUGCCGGAAGGUUAAGGAAGCUGGUCAGCGUAAGCGAAGCUAGCGACUGAAGCCCCGGUGAACGGCGGCCGUAACGAUAACGGUCCUAAGGUAGCGAAAUUCCUUGUCGGGUAAGUUCCGACCCGCACGAAAGGCGUAACGAUCUGGGCGCUGUCUCGGAGAGAGGCUCGGCGAAAUAGAAUUGUCUGUGAAGAUGCGGACUACGUGCACCCGGACAGAAAGACCCUAUGAAGCUUUACUGUAGCUUGGUAUUGUGCUCGGGCUCGGAAUGCGCAGGAUAGGUGGGAGGCAAUGAACCAUUGCUUGUGGGUGAUGGUGAGCCACUGGUGAGAUACCACUCUUUCUGAGCUAGAGUUCUAACAGCCACCCGUUAUCCGGGGGCUGGACAGUAUCAGGUGGGCAGUUUGACUGGGGCGGUCGCCUCCUAAAAGGUAACGGAGGCGCGCAAAGGUUUGCUCAGGCUGGUUGGAAAUCAGCCGACGAGUGUAAAAGCAGAAGCAAGCUUGACUGUGAGACCUACAAGUCGAACAGGGAGGAAACUCGGCUUUAGUGAUCCGACGGUUCUGCGUGGAAGGGCCGUCGCUCAACGGAUAAAAGUUACUCUAAGGAUAACAGGCUGAUCUCCCCCAAGAGUUCACAUCGACGGGGAGGUUUGGCACCUCGAUGUCGGCUCAUCGCAACCUGGGGCUGAAGUCGGUCCCAAGGGUUGGGCUGUUCGCCCAUUAAAGCGGUACGCGAGCUGGGUUCAGAACGUCGUGAGACAGUUCGGUCCAUAUCCGGUGCAUGCGCAGGAAUAUUGAGAGGAUUUCUCCCUAGUACGAGAGGACCGGGAGGAACGCACCUCUGGUGUACCAGUUAUCGUGCCAACGGUAAACGCUGGGUAGCCAUGUGCGGAGUGGAUAACCGCUGAAAGCAUCUAAGUGGGAAGCCCACCUCAAGAUGAGUAUUCCCAUGGGGUAACCCAGUAAGGUCACGGGAAGAACACCCGUUGAUAGGCUCUACGUGGAAGCGCAGUAAUGUGUGAAGCGGAGGAGUACUAAUAGACCGAGGGCUUGACC
rnacentral:rRNA from 1 species